rnacentral:rRNA from 1 species
UACAGAGGUCUCAAGCGUUGUUCGGAUUCAUUGGGCGUAAAGGGUGCGUAGGUGGCGCUGUAAGUCAGGUGUGAAAUUUCGGAGCUUAACUCCGAAACUGCAUUUGAUACUGCGGUGCUUGAGGACUGGAGAGGAGACUGGAAUUUACGGUGUAGCAGUGAAAUGCGUAGAGAUCGUAAGGAAGACCAGUGGCGAAGGCGGGUCUCGUGGACAGUUCCUGACACUGAGGCACGAAGGCCAGGGGGAGCAAACGGG